rnacentral:lncRNA from 10 species
GUACUAUCAAAGUGGUUCUUCGGGUCAAAACGUUGUGCAAAUUAGAAGUUCUACAUACAGGGAAACAUUGCUAGGACCUUCAGGAGAAUAAUUUAAAUAUAGACUCCAUUUUAACAACAACUUCUCAAACUACCCCCUCCCCAUAGCAGUAUAUGUGAAACCAUGAGAACAAACAUUGAAACUGGACAGAAGGUUAGAAAGACGAAUUUGAAACAGUGUGAAAAGGGCUGUUCACUUGGGGAGCCAUUUUGCCAGCGGUGUUUGGGAACCAGAAUUUCUAUUUAUCAUAGAGUUUAUCACAUUCACGUAGCCCUUUUUUUCGCUCUCCAAAGAGCUCAGCUAUGCUACCUACAGGGUGUCCAUAAAGUCCAUAGGUAAAUAUUUAUAAAGUCAUCAAAGACAUCUUUAAUCUGUAAAAAAAAAAAAUAAAUAAAAUGAUUUGUUUAUGUUUCCAGACAUUAGGGUAUCCAUAAAACAUACAUACCUUGUGUGGCAUUACUCCCAUUUCAGGGAUGCGGAUCUAGCAGCAUAGAGAGUUUAGAGGUCUUCCAUGAAGUCGCCAGCUGGCUAGUGGCCAAGGUGGAAAAGAACUCUGGCCUUCUGACAUAUUUUCUUCCCACUUGAACACGUUCGUUUAAAAUGGGAACUAAAGUGAUGUUUCUUGGGGCAUAACUCCCUUCACAAAUGCAUCAAGGGAGUCCCUCUCAAUUUUUCAUAUCAUUGCUGUCUGUCUGAGAGCUCAGUAUCAGCUCUGUAGGCCAAACCCAUCAUUGCAGCAGCCUAUUGUUGGAGAUAAAUCACCCUGUGACAUGACAAAUGCCUUCUGGGUUAUCUCCCAAUCGUGCUGAGUCCCCGGUGCCCCAAGAUGUCCAAGGAGUAUCUGUGAAACUCUCGUCCCCUCAACUGCUGAGCUAGUAACUGUCUAUACUUGGCUGUUCCUCGGUUUCCAUAUUUACUUUAGCUCUUCUGCAACUCUGUCAACAAACUCCAUGGUAUUAUUAGUUUUAGCAAAUAACAGGAUGUCAGAACUGUUGACCAGGAUUCGUUAGUUUGCUGUUAGAGCUCUAUCCCUAGGACAUAGGGGCUAGUGUUCCUUUUAUUUUUUAAGGUGUAUGAGCUUUGGCAGGAAGCCUUCUUGGUCAGGCCCACCAUGCUCUGGUGUCUAUAGGUCUUUAAGGUUGCUCGUGCCACAGAGGCCCCACCCACAGAGACCUGGGCACUUCUGUCUUUGCUUGGUGGUACGAAGACAUCUGUAGAGUAGAUUAAAAAAAAGAAGAUG